GACGAACGCUGGCGGCGUGCUUAACACAUGCAAGUCGAACGAUGAAGCUAGAGCUUGCUCUGGUGGAUUAGUGGCGAACGGGUGAGUAACACGUGAGUAACCUGCCCCGGACUCUGGGAUAACUGCUGGAAACGGUAGCUAAUACCGGAUAUGACCAAUGAAGGCAUCUUCUGUUGGUGGAAAGAAUUUCGGUUCGGGAUGGACUCGCGGCCUAUCAGCUUGUUGGUGAGGUAACGGCUCACCAAGGCGACGACGGGUAGCCGGCCUGAGAGGGUGAUCGGCCACACUGGGACUGAGACACGGCCCAGACUCCUACGGGAGGCAGCAGUGGGGAAUAUUGCACAAUGGGCGCAAGCCUGAUGCAGCAACGCCGCGUGAGGGACGACGGCCUUCGGGUUGUAAACCUCUUUUGGUAGGGAAGAAGCGAAAGUGACGGUACCUGCAGAAAAAGCACCGGCUAACUACGUGCCAGCCGCCGCGGUAA
rnacentral:rRNA from 1 species